rnacentral:lncRNA from 1 species
GAGGAUCUGGACACCUUCCCUAAGAUGGCACAGAUCUGAUAGGAUUAUACGUGGAAACUAGAAGGCUUCUUCAGUUAAGUUAAAUUGGAGGACAUCUACUGCAAAUACAUAUAAGGCUGUUGCCUAACCGAAGAUAAUGUGGUUGUUGAAUCUGAAGCCAAAGCGAAAAAGAAGAAGAGAAAGCAUGGGUUGACUUCCGGUGAUGAAGUUAAAGAAACAAAAUCAGAAGCACUACAGAAGCCUAUUGAUGAUAGUACGAACGGAGAUAAAGUGGUGGUUGAAUUUGAAGGUAAAGCAAAAAAAAAAAAAAAAAAAAAGAAGAAGAAGAAGAAAAACAAGAAUGAUGUAGCUUCUGGUGAUAAAGUUAAAGAAACAAAACCAGAAGCAGUAGAGAAGCCUGUAGAUGGUACUACAAAUGUCUUGGAAGUAAAUGAAUCAAAGAAAAAACCCAAAGAUAAACAACCGCGUAAAGUAUGUGGGUUUGGUUUGAUAAGAAAAUAGUUUGGUGAAAGAAAACCUUUGAUUGAUAUGUUUUUGUAAGCACGUAAAUGUAAGAACUUUUUUUUGCAGCGCGUUUUUAUUUAAGCUAUUGUAUAUUAUUGGGGGUUUUGUUUUUAUCAGGUUGUACAAAGCAUCAUAAGCGAGCUUGAAUCACAAGGGUGGCUUUUGAGAAUUAACUCAAGGGUUUCAUCGCUGGCUACAUGUUGUGGACUGAGGUACAAGUGGUCUAAUUUAUGAUAAGAUGAGUGGUUGCUGCUGGUGUUAUAAUAUUUGAAACCACUGCAUAGGAACACACGAUAUGCAGCAGCCACGAUCAGCUGCUUUGAAGCAUCUACAAAUCCUUCUUUGGAUUACCCGUCCGCAGAUUCUGAUCAUAUGAGCAAAAGAACGAGAAUCAUGGGGAUAACCAAAGAGGUUAAUUCAUUUCAUUUUAUCGCUGCAAGUUGUAACACCAUUCUUCUUAUUAGAGUUUUAUUUCGAUGAAUUUCUUGCCGAAAAACAGGCAAACCUGCCAGUUAACGUGUUAAAAUGCAUUUAUUUGUGCACAACUUCUAGACAUUAAUUAUACAAUUAUUGUUUCAAAUGGAUUACAAUGAUAAAUUGUGAU